AUACCUUUCUCGGCCUUUUGGCUAAGAUCAAGUGUAGUAUCUGUUCUUAUCAGUUUAAUAUCUGAUACGUGGGCCAUCGGCCCACAUGAUAUUAAAUUUAUUUUUCUAGGGGAAGGGUCCAUCACAAUAGCUUGCUAUUGGGGCCUUUGAGCGUCGCCUUUGCGUUACACUACAGCUUGGGCUUGGCGCACCCCUC
rnacentral:snRNA from 2 species